AUGAUGUCAAAAUACUGCAGAUAUCGAUUGCACGAAAAGAAAAGAAAAAGUACACGUACACAUGCCCGCCCCCACACAGACAGGAAACCAGAAGAAAAGUUUCCAAAUCCUGUUUCCAGCAGCAUCCCUUCUGAGACUGCCCUACAGCAUGCUUCUGAAGGUAGGAGCCCCACCGUGAAACCAAGAGCUGAUACCUCACUCCUGACUGUGAUGAAAACGGAAAGAAUCAUCAUCCCACAUCCAGGAAGCAGAAAACUGUGGCCACCUGAGGUCAAAAGGUCCCCCAAACUCUGGGUGCUUCGCCCUGCGAGGAGAUCCCAGUUCUCGGGCGCAAGAAUCUUCCCCCUCACCUUCUCCCUUUAGCAUUUCUGUGUUCACCUCACCUGUGGCACCUGCAAGCUGCCUUGUCAUAUGUAUUGUGUUUUCAUUUUAUUCCCGUCACUACAUUUCCCUCCUUGCCGAUCACUGUGUUUUAAUCACGUUCGUGUCCCCUUGUCAGUCUUGCACCUUAUAUGUAUGAGGUAAUCCUCAACUAGCCACUGCAUUGAAUUACACGAUUUCAUGGAAGGUGAAGCGAAUUUAUGCCUCUCCCUGACUGCGAGUACUAUCACUAACCCCCAGAGAGAAUGUUGUUAUACCCUCGGAGAAACAAAACGGAAAAGAAGCAGAAGAAACCAAAAAAACCCACAAUCACAUGGCACUUCUGUUACAAUUGAGAAUUUAUUAGGUCAGAACGCCAGGUUUGGGGCAGAACUCUGGGAAAUUAAGAAGAAAUGAAUGAAAGAAGAAGAACAAGCAGGAAAAAACCUGAGAAACAGGUAUUUGAAAUAGAUCAUAGUCAUGACACAUCUGGUAGCCAGUUUCUAGAGCAUUCUGGGAACAAUGUGGAGGUAGAUGAGUCUUUGUCCCAGGAGUUGGAUGACUUGGGGCUGAGUGGUGAGGACAGUCUUACCUACAACCCCCUACCUUGACCGGCAAAUGGACUCUUCUGUCUGCUGAACUUGACUGCCACAACAUCUGUGUCUAUGCUGUGCUGACAGGGUGUU
rnacentral:lncRNA from 1 species